GUAAAAACAAUUUUCUAUAAAUGUUCAAAGUAAAUCUGAACAAAAGUGAUUUUUUGGGCAACUCAAAAAACCAAAAAACCAAAUUUGCAAGUUUUGACAAAAUGCCAUAACUGUCCCAUGUAACCAAUAUCAAAAUUUCAGCAGGACAAAAUUACAAAAUGCGCUUCCCACUCCCAUUGAUCUUAUUACUAACCAAUCACCUGCAAUGGUGAUUGAUUGGGAUAUGAUAUAUAUAUAUAAGCAGAAGCAAAUUUACUCCUACUGACAUUAU
rnacentral:misc_RNA from 1 species